CAAAUGGACGCCAUCUUGCUAACAUGCUAACUGUUGGCGCUAACAUUAGCAUAGUUCGAGGACAAAAAUAAAUAACCAACCAAGGAAUACCAGAUCACUUAACUACUAACUGUUUCAAGUUUUAACAUCUGCCGGUACUUGAUCAUCUCCUCUAUCCUCCAGCACUCCUGACUCAUCUCCGCUCUGUCUCCCUGUGGCAUCCACGGGCCGACUCACAAGAGCUCUGUGACAUAUGGAAGACAUCACAGGCCUGGACUUCCAUCUGUGUCGGCAGUCGAGCCCUGCUGGCACCCACCAGUCACUGCGCAGGAAGAGAAUAAUCCAGGACAGAGGAGUUGUGAUAAGAGGAGUCCGAAUCCCUUGAGGACAAGAUUUCAGCGUUGGGGGAGGGGAUGGAUGUUGUCAUGAUGUGCAAAAUCUCGCCGCAGUUUGCAGAAAACAGGUGCCCGGCAGCUCAGUGGGGUUCAGCUGGGUUUACUAGGGCUCAGUUUCUGCAACUAAUACCCCAUACACGACCAAAACUGCACCACUUCCUUGUUUUACAUCAGCCUGUAACAAACUGUAAAUGUAAGCGACACAUUCUUCUGCCUUGGAAUUUAAACAGUUUGCAAAUGUACGUUUCCUGCCCUGCAG